UGAGAAGGGUACUUUACCUCUUUAGCAUUUUUCAUCAAAAUUUGUAACUUCAGUCUAAUGAGAAAAUAUCAGACAAUCCAAAUUGAGGAGCAUUCUACAAAAUGUCCAGUACUCUUCAAAAGUGUCAAGAUCCCCCAAAACAAGACAAGACUAAACAAGACAAGACUAAAAAACUGUCAUAGAUCAGAGAAGAAUGGAGAGACCUGGUGACUAAAUGCUUUGGGCUAUCCUGGAUUGGAUUCUAGAAUAGCAAAUAAGCAACUUUCAGUAAAUACUUUUGUAAUUGCCCAUGAGUUGUCAAGCACUCAUGAGAUGAAGUUCCAACUCUACAGAUGAAAGCCCUGUUUUUGAAUCAAGCACUUCAUGAGUAAGGAUUUCACAAAGCUGCAAAAUCUGCUCUUGAGAACCCCUGACAACUAAAUAUUCCAUGGCUUCCACUGAUAAUCAUGCUGUCAGCUUGUCAUAUACCAGGAGGUAUCAACAAUCACCAAGCUCUCGUGCAUUAACUACCUGUUUCACCUCCAUUGAGGAUAUGUCUCAGGUCAAUAAUUGGAUCUAUGAAACCUGGCUGUGAUAAAUACCAAGGAAUUCUAUGCCAGUUCACAGCAGUAAGAGUGCAGAAGUGCCAGAAGCUGAUGUGCCCAAGAACUGAGCCCAAGUCUUAGCACAAGAUCUCCAUCCAUCAAAUAACUGUAAUUUAUCACCCAGACUGAGACAUUUCUGAGAGUGAAAGGGAGCUUCAUGAGUAAUUAUUCCAGAACAACUGGAGUAUAUUGGGACUGUCUUAGACAAACUAAAAGGCAAAGUCAUUCUACUGCCAUUCUACUCCCAAACUUCUAGACUCUGGCUGAUUCUCUCCACAGACCUCUUCCCGGUGAAAAUAUCCUCCUCUUU
rnacentral:lncRNA from 10 species